CCCGCCAGUGAACUGGCGGGCUAUUGUCUGUCAUCCCUACGGGACG
rnacentral:sRNA from 1 species